rnacentral:rRNA from 1 species
UUGAACGCUGGCGGCAUGCUUUACACAUGCAAGUCGAACGGCAGCGGGGGCUUCGGCCUGCCGGCGAGUGGCGAACGGGUGAGUAAUGCAUCGGAACGUACCCAGUCGUGGGGGAUAACUACGCGAAAGCGUAGCUAAUACCGCAUACGUCCUGAGGGAGAAAGCGGGGGAUCUUCGGACCUCGCGCGAUUGGAGCGGCCGAUGUCGGAUUAGCUAGUAGGUGAGGUAAAGGCUCACCUAGGCGACGAUCCGUAGCGGGUCUGAGAGGAUGAUCCGCCACACUGGGACUGAGACACGGCCCAGACUCCUACGGGAGGCAGCAGUGGGGAAUUUUGGACAAUGGGCGCAAGCCUGAUCCAGCCAUGCCGCGUGAGUGAAGAAGGCCUUCGGGUUGUAAAGCUCUUUCGGACGGAAAGAAACGGUCACGGCCAAUACCCGUGGCUAAUGACGGUACCGUCAGAAGAAGCGCCGGCUAACUACGU